rnacentral:lncRNA from 1 species
AUAUUACCUGAAAUUGUGUAGAAAAUGCCAUGAAAUAAUUUUGUUGCAAAGAGGUAGCAAAGUUGAGGGGUGGACAAGCUCACUCUCUUGGGAUGAUAUGUACCGUUUGCAAAAUAAAAAACUAAAAUAAACUAACUUCAAUGUAAUAAUUGAUACUAAAUGGCUUCAAAAAAUAUAUUUUUUUAAAAAAAAUAUAUACCAAUUACAUCUAAAGGAAUUAGAAGGGCUUCUACUUUCAUAGCCCUUAUUUAUUAUUGAUUAGAGAGUUGGGAGGGUU